rnacentral:lncRNA from 1 species
UUUAGUGGCCACAACGCCCCUACAAGGCAGACGCUGUCCUCGUCUUGCAGAUGGCGGACUGAGGCCCAGGGGGCGGAGGCUGGGGCCCUAAUCACGCAGCCGGCGAGCGUCACAGCCAGGAUUCGCCAUGGAGCUUUGGGCAGAACCCACGCCAGAGCCACGGGGCCUCCGCCAGUAAGGAGUUUAGAAACGGCCCAUCGUUCCCGAAGCCCGUGGGUCCGGAAGACACAGUUGAUAAGACCCAGCCUUUGGAGGGUCCGCUUGGGAAUUUCCCACUUUGUGUCCUGAGACUAGGAGCCCAGUGGUGGGGACUUUGUGAUCGCUGGUGAGACGAACGCGGUUCCCUGCACGGAGCUGGGCGUGAGCACCUGUGUAACCGAUCUGAACAACACGUGCUGUCACAUUCCUUCUCCAGACCUCACAGCAAAACAAGUUCCAGAUGGACUAAAGGUCUGAUGCUACAAAAUAAAUCUCUAAACCUAUAAAAAUGCUGGAAGACUUCGCAGGGACUUUUUCCAGAGAGGAGAGUGG